AUUUCUCCGCGCCUGCAGCCCACGCGGAAUUCUCCCCCGCGGAGUCCACAAGAUCCUUUUGGAAGCCCGUUGCUUGGUGUUUUCCGGCCCGGGUGAGCCCAAUUCCCGCGGGAAAUAGUUCCCGGCCUGUGGACACCGGUGAGCCCUCCCCGUCUCUCACGACUCGCGGAGUCGAGCGGGAGAGCGCCGCCGGCGGCUGCCGAUCUACUCCGGCGACCUCGUGGCGGCAGUGUCUCCUUCGUCGGCGUCUCUACGGCAACCACAUCCUUCGCAUCAGAGCACUUGCUGCAAACAGUGCAUAGAAGGUACAAGUAAUUUCGUGACAGGAGUGGCACAAAUGCAGAGUGGUGAAAGUUGAGUAUGGUGUUGCUGGGUCACAAAUAUUAGUGCUUCGACUUCUUCCUAGCGUCUGAAAUUCUUGUUCCUGAUCGAAAAUGGUCAAAUAAAUUGCUCGCCUUAUUUUCUUUUAUAUUAUCUAUCUGGGUAUGUGCAUGAACAUGACCAUAUAUAAGCCAUUCAUCUCAGUUGGACAGUAUAUCCUGCUAUUCUGAAGGCCACGUGAUCAUAUUGUUGCUGUUUUGAAGGCCACGUGAUCAUAUUGUUGCUAUUCUGAAGGCUACAUGUUCUGGAAUUAUAUUGUGAUGACGAAUCAACAUGGCAGUUGACUGUUAA